rnacentral:lncRNA from 1 species
CAAGAAAGACACUUAAAUCUUUUAUUUUCAAGAUUGUUUAUUUUUGUUAAAGGUCAAUAAAAAGUUUUGUGAAGAGGUGUGUAUAUUCACUAAUUAAGUAGUAUAUAUAUCUGCUUAUUUCUUUAAUAAAAAAGCUUUGUCUAACGAUAAAAAAAAAAUCAUAGUAUAAAAUGUCUAUUUUUUAACUCUAAAAAAACCAAAGUUGGAAAGAAAACUUAAUAAAAAAACGAAAUUUUAUGUACAUGGUGUUUUCUUUUUUCCUAUAAAAAAAACUUGACAAUAACAAAAAACAAAAUAUUGUCUAACAUUAUCAGGAAAAAAAUCUAUAAAAAAUGUUAGAAAA